UACGUAGGGUGCAGGCGUUAAUCGGAAUUACUGGGCGUAAAGCGUGCGCAGGCGGUUUCUUAAGUCAGAUGUGAAAGCCCCGGGCUUAACCUGGGAACUGCGUUUGAGACUGGGAGACUUGAGUGUGGCAGAGGGGGGUGGAAUUCCACGUGUAGCAGUGAAAUGCGUAGAUAUGUGGAGGAACACCAAUGGCGAAGGCAGCCCCCUGGGUCAACACUGACGCUCAUGCACGAAAGCGUGGGGAGCAAACAGG
rnacentral:rRNA from 1 species